rnacentral:lncRNA from 1 species
CAGCAACGGUCCCGCAAGGGUGGGGAACUGGGCAGGGAGGGGCAGACAGGGCUCCUACGCGCACCUUCUGGGAACACAACUGUGGCAGCUCGCUCGCCCCGGAGGCGCGCAGGGUCGUCCCCCCUCCCCGGAUACCGGAAAGUCUCUUCUCUUUUUCGUAUCAAAAAAAGCCCGGUGAAGACUCUGCAGAACCCAGGAAGCGCAGAAUCGGGAGAAAGUCUUUGGCUGGGGCUGGUUCAAGACCCUGCUUCAAUGGGCUGCUGGAAGCCAGGACUGGGUAAUUCUUUCCAGACGUCUUGACUUCUCCUUGCUCGCUGUUGUUGCCUUUCUGCCUCCUCCAACUUAAGGGGGUCUUAACAAGGUUCCUCUGAGCUGUUUGGAUCAGAAGAUGACAGAUGUUUCAGGUUUUGACAUCCUAAGACAUACUUCUCCAACCUACGCUUGUUAUGGUUUCAACUAUCCAAGACAACAUAGCGAAGAACUUCAGAGGUAGGAGCUUGACCUGAGUCAACGUGAGUCUGCAGCAUGCUCUUGCUAACCUCCUUCCCACAACACAGAACAAGUGUUCACCUGUCUGAGAGACCAAGUUUCCAGAAGAAGGAUUCAGUACCUUCAUACUUCUCUGUGUAAAUGGUUCUCAAACUUUUUGGUGUGAAGUCCCUCUAUACGCUCUUAAAAAUUGUUGAGGACUUCAAAAAACGUGUUUAUAUGGGUUAUAUCUAUCAAUAGACCAUAUUAGAAAUAAAAGCUGACCAAAAAAGUUUUAGAAUAUUUAUUAAUUAAUUUAAAAUAAUAAUAAACGCAAGGACUUGUCACCAUUUUUGUGAAAUGUGGCAUUGUUUUCCAUUUUUG